rnacentral:rRNA from 1 species
GAUGAACGCUGGCGGCGUGCUUAACACAUGCAAGUCGAACGGUGAAGGCGGAGCUUGCUCUGCUGGAUCAGUGGCGAACGGGUGAGUAACACGUGAGCAAUCUGCCCCUGACUCUGGGAUAAGCGCUGGAAACGGCGUCUAAUACUGGAUACGAGCUGCGAAGGCAUCUUCAGCAGCUGGAAAGAAUUUCGGUCGGGGAUGAGCUCGCGGCCUAUCAGCUUGUUGGUGAGGUAGUGGCUUACCAAGGCGUCGACGGGUAGCCGGCCUGAGAGGGUGACCGGCCACACUGGGACUGAGACACGGCCCAGACUCCUACGGGAGGCAGCAGUGGGGAAUAUUGCACAAUGGGCGAAAGCCUGAUGCAGCAACGCCGCGUGAGGGACGACGGCCUUCGGGUUGUAAACCUCUUUUAGCAGGGAAGAAGCGAAAGUGACGGUACCUGCAGAAAAAGCGCCGGCUAACUACGUG